GAUGAACGCUGGCGGCGUGCCUAAUACAUGCAAGUCGAGCGAACAGACGAGGAGCUUGCUCCUCUGACGUUAGCGGCGGACGGGUGAGUAACACGUGGAUAACCUACCUAUAAGACUGGGAUAACUUCGGGAAACCGGAGCUAAUACCGGAUAAUAUAUUGAACCGCAUGGUUCAAUAGUGAAAGACGGUUUUGCUGUCACUUAUAGAUGGAUCCGCGCCGCAUUAGCUAGUUGGUAAGGUAACGGCUUACCAAGGCAACGAUGCGUAGCCGACCUGAGAGGGUGAUCGGCCACACUGGAACUGAGACACGGUCCAGACGCCUACGGGAGGCAGCAGUAGGGAAUCUUCCGCAAUGGGCGAAAGCCUGACGGAGCAACGCCGCGUGAGUGAUGAAGGUCUUCGGAUCGUAAAACUCUGUUAUUAGGGAAGAACAAAUGUGUAAGUAACUAUGCACGUCUUGACGGUACCUAAUCAGAAAGCCACGGCUAACUACGUG
rnacentral:rRNA from 1 species